CAGAUGCCAAAAAAUAAAUAAAAUUGAACAAAAUGGAGAAAAGAAACUGUUACAUUUAACAGAUAAUAGAUGUAAUAACAUUCGAGCUCCAUAUUAACUAACUCCAUGAUUCCGACUAAUACUCGCAAACAAGACCACCGAAGAACAUAAGAACACGCCUCAUGCUUCACAACUACUAAGACAUACUCAACUUAAGACCGAACAAUGCACCAGAUAAAACGAGUUUGAAUCAGUGAGGAAUUAUACCUUUUCUGAGGCAGCAAACAGAGACAGAAUGAGCUCGAAAGACCAGCGACUUNNNNN
rnacentral:lncRNA from 1 species